AUUGAACGCUGGCGGCAGGCCUAACACAUGCAAGUCGAACGGUAGCACAGAGAGCUUGCUCUCGGGUGACGAGUGGCGGACGGGUGAGUAACGUCUGGGAAACUGCCCGAUGGAGGGGGAUAACUACUGGAAACGGUAGCUAAUACCGCAUAACGUCGCAAGACCAAAGUGGGGGACCUUCGGGCCUCACACCAUCGGAUGUGCCAGAUGGGAUUAGCUAGUAGGUGGGGUAAUGGCUCACCUAGGCGACGAUCCCUAGCUGGUCUGAGAGGAUGACCAGCCACACUGGAACUGAGACACGGUCCAGACUCCUACGGGAGGCAGCAGUGGGGAAUAUUGCACAAUGGGCGCAAGCCUGAUGCAGCCAUGCCGCGUGUAUGAAGAAGGCCUUCGGGUUGUAAAGUACUUUCAGCGGGGAGGAAGGCGGUGAAGUUAAUAGCUUCACCGAUUGGCGUUACCCGCAGAAGAAGCACCGGCUAACUCCGUGCCAGCAGCCGCGGUAA
rnacentral:rRNA from 1 species